AAAUGUCACCCUCUAGAACUAGAAAUCAAAUGUAAAUAACACUUAGACGCUUGAUACUUUGAGUGUUUUCCUUUUGUAAUAUAGCAAAUGCCACCUUGUAGAACUAGAAAUCAAAUCUACUUAAAUAGUAAUAAAAAAUAAUUGUUGUAUGGUUGGUGGCCAUUUACAAUGUGUCACGCGUCUGAGCUUGUAAACCCACAUCUUUUGCAACCUCUCCACGUUUUGCUCAACUAAUUACAUCAAUCCUUACUUGUUUGGUUUCGACUUCGAC
rnacentral:lncRNA from 1 species